rnacentral:rRNA from 1 species
UUUACCAAAAACAUAGCCCUCGAAGAAAUCGAAGGUGUAACCUGCCCAAUGAUUAUUAAUUUAAAAAGCAAAAAAACUUUUAAAAUAAUUUAAAGGACGCAGUAACCUGACUGUGGUAAUGUAGCAUAAUCAAUCGCCAUUUAAUUGAUGGAUAGUAUGAAUGGUUGAACGAAUAUUACAUUGUCUCAAGUAAAAAACUUAUGAAAUUAGGAUAAUAGUUAAGACACUAUUUAAAACUGUAAGACGAAAAGACCCUAUAGAGCUUAACUACAAACUUUUUUUUAACACCAUCAUAAAAUAUGAUUUUAAAGAAAGUCAGGUAGUUUAGUUGGGGCGACUAUCUUCUAAAAAGAACGAAGACUAGCAAAGUUAACAAAAAUUAACUUAUUGUUUAAUCUACAAAUUUAACAAUUACAAAAGUAGGCUAUAAUGACCCAUUAAAUCUAAGAAAGAAGUUUAAUGAUUAAAGAAUAAAAGCUACCUUAGGGAUAACAGGAUAAUUUUGUUCUAGAGACCCUAUCGAAGACAAAGUUUGUCACCUCUAUGUUGAAUUGAGAUAUCCAGAUAAUGCAGAAGUUAUCAAAGGUAGGUCUGUUCGACCUUUAAAAUCUUACAUGAUUU